UUCUGGCGCGGCUGCAGGGGCGGGCGUUUUCGGGCCUCUGGGGCCGGUUGGUCUGAACUGAAGUUCAGGAAGGGAGCUGUGGGGUUGGGGUGACGAGAGCGGGAAGCUGCAACAAGAGGUGGGGCUGCGGUACCGCAGCGGCGCGGGAUCGGGGCCCCCGGUGCUGGUCCUCCUCCCCCGGCGCCGCUCCGCCCGCAGAGUCCGAUGGCGGCGGCCGCGCAGAGGGACCUGGCUCAGGUUCCUAUUGCUGCAGAUUUGCUUCCAUACCAUGCGGAGGGCCAUGUGACCUUUGAGGAUGUGGCUGUCUACUUCUCUUGGGAGGAGUGGGGACUCCUUGAUGAAGCCCAGAGACUCCUAUACCGUGAUGUGAUGCUGGAGAACUUUUCACUGAUGGCCUCUCUGGAGCUGCCUCAGUACUUGCUGCCCCAAAACUGCAGGAAAAGAUUUGGGAAUUAGGAGUCUUGAAGUCAGCCUAAUGGAUCACACCCUUUUGGCCUCUCCCUGGCCUGGGAUGCUGUAAAGAUCUAUGGCAGCUCCAUGCCCCAGGUUCUGCUCUCUUCCUCUGGCUGCCAUGGGAUGCGCCUAUACCUGCAAUUGAGGCACUAAAAUGGCCACUGCUUGACUAGGUUGUUCUUGACUUGCAUCUUCCAGGACUCAUGAAGUUAGCCGAUUGGAGUGGUGGAGAGAACCCUUUUUGCCUCCCUGUGGAGUCAUGACUGCAGCCAUGCCAGGAGGUUGGUGGCAUAGAGCAGAGAUUGAGGAAGGACCUCUUGAG